rnacentral:rRNA from 1 species
AACGAACGCUGGCGGCAGGCCUAACACAUGCAAGUCGAACGCUGUAGCAAUACAGAGUGGCGCACGGGUGAGUAACGCGUAGGAAUCUACCCAUUAGCCUGGGAUAACAGCGGGAAACUGCUGCUAAUACCGGAUACGCCCUUCGGGGGAAAGGUUUACUACUAAUGGAUGAGCCUGCGUUAGAUUAGCUAGUUGGUGAGGUAAUGGCUCACCAAGGCUCCGAUCUAUAGCCGGUCUGAGAGGACGAUCGGCCACACUGGGGCUGAGACACGGCCCAGACUCCUACGGGAGGCAGCAGUGGGGAAUAUUGGGCAAUGGACGCAAGUCUGACCCAGCCAUGCCGCGUGUGUGAUGAAGGCCUUAGGGUUGUAAAGCACUUUUAGUAGUGAAGAUGAUGACAGUAGCUACAGAAAAAGCCCCGGCUAACUUCGUGCCAGCAGCCGCCGCUG